GGAGUCUGGUCCGUGUCUCAGUACCAGUGUGGGGGACCUUCCUCUCAGAACCCCUACUGAUCAAUGGACCGGUGGGCCGUUACCCCGCCGGCAUCCUAAUCAGACGCAUCCCCAUCCCUUAGCGAUGAAUCUUUGGUUUGAUUUUGAUGUCAGCAUCAAACAACAUAGGGAAUUAAUCCGACUUUCGCCGGGCUGUGCCCUACUAAGGGGAAGGUUGGAUACGCGUUACUCACCCGUGCGCCGGUCGCCAUCUAUCAAAGCAAGCUUCGAUAAUGAUGCCCCUCGACUUGCAUGUGUUAAGCCUGUAGCUAGCGUUCAUCCUGAGCCAUAAUCAAACUCU
rnacentral:rRNA from 1 species